AACUUUCAACAACGGAUCUCUUGGCUCUAGCAUCGAUGAAGAACGCAGCGAAAUGCGAUACGUAAUGUGAAUUGCAGAACUCAGUGAAUCAUCGAAUCUUUGAACGCACAUUGCGCCUGGCAGCAUUCUGCCAGGCAUGCCUGUCCGAGCGUCAU
rnacentral:rRNA from 1 species